rnacentral:rRNA from 1 species
GUGGGGAAUAUUGCACAAUGGGCGAAAGCCUGAUGCAGCAACGCCGCGUGAGGGACGACGGCCUUCGGGUUGUAAACCUCUUUUAGUAGGGAAGAAGCGAAAGUGACGGUACCUGCAGAAAAAGCACUGGCUAACUACGUGCCAGCAGCUGCGGUAAUACGUAGGGUGCAAGCGUUAUCCGGAAUUAUUGGGCGUAAAGAGCUCGUAGGCGGUCUGUCGCGUCUGCUGUGAAAACUGGAGGCUCAACCUCCAGCCUGCAGUGGGUACGGGCAGACUAGAGUGCGGUAGGGGAGAUUGGAAUUCCUGGUGUAGCGGUGGAAUGCGCAGAUAUCAGGAGGAACACCGAUGGCGAAGGCAGAUCUCUGGGCCGUAACUGACGCUGAGGAGCGAAAGCGUGGGGAGCGAACAGGAUUAGAUACCCUAGUAGUCC